rnacentral:rRNA from 1 species
UACGUAGGGGGCAAGCGUUGUCCGGAUUUAUUGGGCGUAAGGAGCGUGUAGGCGGCCUGACAGGUCUGCUGUGAAAACUCGAGGCUCAACCUCGAGAUGUCGGCGGAAACCGUCUGGCUAGAGUCCGGAAGAGGAGAGUGGAAUUCCUGGUGUAGCGGUGAAAUGCGCAGAUAUCAGGAAGAACACCUAUGGCGAAGGCAGCUCUCUGGGACGGUACUGACGCUGAGACGCGAAAGCGUGGGGAGCGAACAGG